GCCUAGUUAGCUUGGUUGCUAAAGCCUCUGCCUUGUAAGCGCUAGGCCGCGGGUUCGAUUCCUGUCCUGGGCA
rnacentral:tRNA from 1 species